rnacentral:lncRNA from 1 species
GAGACAGAGUACAGUGGUAGGAUACUGAAUCUCCUGAUAGAUUUUGGGCUCGUUUGGGCCCAUUAUCUAUAGCUCUGUGCCCUUAAUUUCAGUCAACUACCUAGUGGUAAAUUAAUUAUUUACAUUUAUCAGGCUUCCCAGACUGCAAUAACUUCCACACCAUGUUAAAUUAACCAAAAAAAAGUAAAAAAUGACAAAAGAAUUGAGUAUUAUUCUGACCCUGAGGCCCCACUGCCACCUGAUGUCACUAUUCUUGUCAGGCAAAGGCAGGCAGGCAAGCUGCAUGCCUGCAAGAACUGACAGCUCUGGAAAGGAUUUCAGCAGGUAGGAAGCCCCAGGGAAAGUUAUACAAAUUAUUUCACUAAGUCAAAAGAUUUUGCCUUAUGGACAGCACUCAUUAAGACAAAUCCAUUAGCCUGGGCAAACACAGAGAUUGAGUUAAGGGUGAGUCUCCUUGAGGUCUUCUGGGGAAAGGUUGGCACUGCCUGACACAAGUGGGGAGGAAGUCCACACGGCAAACACCACAGCAGGGGAAAAAAAGCCCUCCUCCCCCUGCAUUACUACAGCUUGGUUCCCAGUAAAGCACACUAAAGCAGGAGAAACUCCACAAACAAGACAUCAGUCUGACACACAAGAGCAAAGCCUAGGCAGAAACCUGAAACCUCAUACAUGUAAUGUUGGCUGUGAAACUCUCCCACCUAUCACUGAUUCCAGAGAGUCUUCACUGGAUUUGAGGCAAGAUUUAAGCACCAGGGACAGGAAUGGAGUCACAUGCACACUGACAUAAACAUCUGUGUUUGCAUCUGGAAAGCUCAAGGGAAUAUUAUGGCAUUAGGAACAGAACAGCAAGAUUUUCAGUGAGAAGAUAUUUUAAUUGUCGUUCAGAAGUAGAAGGAUAAAUAAGUAAAGCAUCCAGAAAUGCUCACUUGAGAGUCUUUUGUUUCAUGAGUAGGCAGCAGCACAAGGGAGGCCUGAAGGAACAUUAGCAGAGGGUCUGGCUCUCUGGCCAUGUGGUAUGACUGUGACUAAUUGCAAAUGAUUAACUUCAACUCAUAUAUACUUUGGCUCAAAGAAGCAUAUACUGGUUAACACUGAAAUGUCUACACAUAUUUAUAUGUAGCAUCUAAAAUGCAUCUUAUAUUUUACAUCUAAACAAAUUUGUCACUUUGUGCAUGAUGAACCUGGUUUCCAUGAGCACAAAAUAUAUUUUAAAUGCUUGGCUCACCUGGGCUGUCAGAUACCUUUCUGUAACUCUGAUUUUAAUUAUACUAUUGGCCAGCAACCCCCAGUCCCGGAACAUGUUUUAUUCCCUCUAAGGCUUCUUGUAACAAUCAGUCAAAUCUCUAUCUCUGCACAAGGUUAAAAUAAAAAGGUAUGAGAGACAUUAAUGGCCCAGUUUGGUACUGAUAAGAAAAUACUGCAAAAUAGUGUUCCAGACUAAUUUUGUUCCUUUACUCAAGGCAAUUUAAUUUGUAUAUUAAUGGAGUCUGGUUAGCCACUAUCUUUAAUACACCCGCUGUGGGAUCUGAUGGUUUCAAAUUCCCAGAAGCUGAAGAACUCUGUAAACAUGUUCUUGCUGCACUCUAAUUAUGUGUAAGCAAACCAAUACAAUUUUGCUGAUAAACAAUUAGGAUAAAAAAUGACAAAACAAUUAUCAGUUUUAUAAUAUCCCUGUUAGAUAGGGAUUAUAAUAAUUCAGGUUAGAGGAAUGGCACACCAUUAAUUUUAGUCAUCUCUCAAGACUACACAGUGGAGCUAAGUGUAACAGUCACUACCAGUUCCUGUGUACCAGCGUUAACCAAACUUUCAAUUAAACCAUGGCAGUAAGUAAAUGCUAUUUAUACAAAGCUUGCAGCUUGACUGUUUUACAAAUGAGUAUGUGGGAAGCAAUGUGAAAUAUCAACUGAUAGUUAAUAUUUAAAUUGCUGCUCAUUUACACUUAAGGCAAGUUUCAUUGCUAUUUGCAGAGAAUUUGAAAGUUCGGAAUUCUGUGAUUCACUUCAAGAACUUUUAUAAAUAACACCCAAUUAUAAAGGAAAAAAAAAUAAAAUCAACUUGUGAUUAAUAAAACUUUCUCCCAGGAGAAAAGAACAUUUUUUAAAGACAGCAAUAAUUUCUUCACUCAUUGAAAGAACACUUUUUUGGUCUGUCUUAAAAAAGCAUUCAGGAAGGGGAAUGCUUCUGUCCCAGAUGCUUAACCUUACAGAAUCCAUCCAGAAAAGUCAGGAAAUUGAUUGUACGUAGGAUAAUCUGCAGUUAGAAAUAACAAUGCCUCUGUAAUGUCAUCAUUAACCCAGAGGGUGGCUGGGCACUGGAAGAGGUUCCCUAGGGAAGUGGUUACACACCAAGCCUGCCAGAGUUCCAGAAGCAUUUGGACAAUGCUCAGACCCAGGGGACUCCUGGGGCAGUUCUGUGCAGUGUCAGGAGCUGGACUUGAAGAUCCUUAUGGGGCCCUCCAGCUCUGGAUAUUCCAUGACCAUAUACUUUAAUCAGUGGUAAUUUAUGCCAUACACAUAAAUAUGCCUUGCUAUUAAGACCCAAUUCCACCAGUAAUACAAGCAUCAAUUGAAUCAAUCACACUCAUUUUUCAUAGUGAAUUUUGAAUCCAUUUCUAUAAGGCACUUCAGACAGACAGGGCACAGAUGCCUUUAGCACAAAUGGAGAGAGAAGAGCAUACUUGAGUCCUGAAUGUAUUCCCAGUAUUUAGUCACCAGUCUGCCUUGGGUAGCUCUCCACUCACAUACUGCUCUUCUCAGAGCCUACUCCAAGUCUUCCACAUGUACCUACCAGGCACCUUAAUGAAACUGGGGAGCUCACACAUUAGAACAACAGCUUGGAAUUAAUCCAGUUUCUUUUGUUAGUUCCUGAUCAUUAAAGUAAUGAAGAGGAGAUUGAGAAGCAGAAUUCUGCUAAAUAUUUUACCAAACUUCAUUUCAAUCCUAAUUUGUUUCAAUUUAAUGGAAUUUUCCUAAAGGAAGACGCUCUAGACUCAUGUGGUUCUAGCAAGAUGUUCAAAUAGAAAAAUUCAAAUCCUACCUGGCUGUACUCUUCUUCCAACUUGUUUUGUGUCUCAGCCCCAUCUUUGACAAGGAGAUUCUAAUUUUCUUCAUGGUCUAUGCAGUCCCUGUGGAAGAAAUUAGAUGCAUUGAAAAUAUCUCAAUAAUUCUCACAGAUUUAUGGAUUACAGGACUACAUUUCCUAAAUUAUUAACUUGAAUAUGUGCUAACACCAACAAUAAGAUGCUGUAUGAAUUCCCAGAUGUGAUUGAAACAAAAAAGAGAAAAGAACCCCAAAAUCAGCAGUUCUGCAAUUACUUACUUUUAGCAAAACAAACAUCAUUAAAGUUUAAUCCAACAUUCAGUUAAUCCUUUCAUUAAAGAUAAGCCAUACUAGCUAAGUAGAUAGCCAGUUCAACUCAAAAAGGGGAAAG